UACGGGGGGAGCAAGCGUUGUUCGGAUUUACUGGGCGUAAAGGGCGUGUAGGCGGCCACCGCAAGUCGACUGUGAAAUCUCCGGGCUUAACUCGGAAAGGUCAGCCGAUACUGCGGGGCUAGAGUGCAGAAGGGGCAACUGGAAUUCUCGGUGUAGCGGUGAAAUGCGUAGAUAUCGAGAGGAACACCUGCGGCGAAGGCGGGUUGCUGGGCUGACACUGACGCUGAGGCGCGAAAGCCAGGGGAGCGAACGGG
rnacentral:rRNA from 1 species